CCCUUGCCCUUAGUUGCCAGCAUUAAGUUGGGAACUCUAAGGGGACCGCCGGUGACAAACCGGAGGAAGGUGGGGAUGACGUCAAGUCAUCAUGGSCCUUAUGACCAGGGCUACACACGUGCUACAAUGGCCAGUACAAAGGGUUGCCAACCCGCGAGGGGGAGCCAAUCCCAUAAAGCUGGUCGUAGUCCGGAUCGCAGUCUGCAACUCGGCUGCGUGAAGUCGGAAUCGCUAGUAAUCGUGAAUCAGCGAUGUCACGGUGAAUACGUUCCCGGGUCUU
rnacentral:rRNA from 1 species